CCUAACACAUGCAAGUCGAGCGGUAACAGAUCUAGCUUGCUAGAUGCUGACGAGCGGCGGACGGGUGAGUAAUGCAUAGGAAUCUGCCCGGUAGUGGGGGAUAACCUGGGGAAACCCAGGCUAAUACCGCAUACGUCCUACGGGAGAAAGGGGGCUUCGGCUCCCGCUAUUGGAUGAGCCUAUGUCGGAUUAGCUAGUUGGUGAGGUAAUGGCUCACCAAGGCAACGAUCCGUAGCUGGUCUGAGAGGAUGAUCAGCCACAUCGGGACUGAGACACGGCCCGAACUCCUACGGGAGGCAGCAGUGGGGAAUAUUGGACAAUGGGCGCAAGCCUGAUCCAGCCAUGCCGCGUGUGUGAAGAAGGCCUUCGGGUUGUAAAGCACUUUCAGCGAGGAAGAACGCCUAGGGGUUAAUACCCACUAGGAAAGACAUCACUCGCAGAAGAAGCACCGGCUAACUCCGUGCCAGCAGCCGCGGUAAUACGGAGGGUGCGAGCGUUAAUCGGAAUUACUGGGCGUAAAGCGCGCGUAGGUGGCUUGAUAAGCCGGUUGUGAAAGCCCCGGGCUCAACCUGGGAACGGCAUCCGGAACUGUCAAGCUAGAGUGCAGGAGAGGAAGGUAGAAUUCCCGGUGUAGCGGUGAAAUGCGUAGAGAUCGGGAGGAAUACCAGUGG
rnacentral:rRNA from 1 species